rnacentral:misc_RNA from 1 species
GAUGAAGAACGUAGCGAAAUGCGAUAAUUAAUGUGAAUUGCAGAAUUCCGUGAAUCAUCGAGUCUUUGAACGCACAUUGCGCCUCAUGGCAUUCCGUGAGGCAUGCCCAUCUCAGCGUUAGAAAAUAUUCUCAAAUUUUAGUUUUGUGCUAAAAUUUGGAUCAUGUCAAGGAAGCUAUUACUAUUAUUGUGAUCGCUCUUUGGAAAUUGAUAGGUCUUUGAGUUGCUACUCAUAGAACGUGAUGAAUCUUUCUUCGUUCUAUUGUAAUUCACUCUGGUAGUCCUAAAACUUGUAUGCCUGUGGCAUAUCUUGUAAUUUGACCUGAGAUUGGGUAGGGAUACCCGCUGAACUUAAGCAUAUCAAUAAGCGCAGGA